CAUGGAACCUGAGGAUUUCUUGUAUCCUUUAUUGAAGGAAGUCAGUAUCGGAAUAGAUCCUUACGAGGUGUUCCAAGAUGCAGAAUGGGCUCUUCUGAUUGGAGCAAAGCCUAGAGGGCCUGGGUUGGAACGCGCUGGCUUAUUAGAUAUCAACGGGCAGAUUUUGGAUGAGCAGGGAAAAGCUCUCAAAGCUGUUGCAUCUCAUGAUGUCAAGGUGAUAGUAGUCGGCAACCCUUGUAACAACACCAAGUAGACAUGUUGAUGCUAUUGGUCUAGCUUAUGCAGUUCCCUUUAGUGUCAACCAUUACCGUAUGGGGGAAUCAAUCAACUACUCAGGUUACUUUAGUGUCUUUAUUUAUUGGAAGGAGUUUCUAUACAUUAAACUUCUCUGGACUGUUCCGAAAUGAACAGUUAUGAGAUUUUUCUACAGGUUCCGGACUUUCUAAAUACCAGAAUCAAUGGCUUACCUGUCAGGGAGGUUAUUAAGGACCACAAGUGGUUACAGGAAGAGUUCUCACUGAAAAGGUCCAGAAGAGAGGGGGGUGCUGAUUGAGAAAUGGGGAAGGUCUUCAGCUUCAUCAACUGCCGUGUCGAUUGCUGAUGCCAUAGUCUCUAGUAAAUCCCACCCCUGAGGGUGAUUGGUUUUCUUCUGGGGUUAUACUUUAUACCAAUGGGAAUCCUUAUGGUAUAGCACAGGAUAAAGUUUUUAGCACGCCUUGUAGAUCAAAA